rnacentral:rRNA from 1 species
AUACCGGAUAGAGCAUUGAUAGCUGGAAUGCACGAUGCUCGAAAGCUGAGGCGCCAAAGGGUAGGUCUGCGGCCGAUUAGGUUGUUGUUGAUGUAAUGGAUCAACAAGCCUCCGAUCGGUAUGGGUUGUGAGAGCAAUAUCCCAGAGAUGGGUUCUGAGAGAAGAACCCAGGUCCUACGGGACGCAUCAGGCGCGAAAACUUUACAAUGUGCGAAAGCACGAUAAGGGAACUCUGAGUGCCUCCAAAGGAGGCUGUUCAGGUGUCUAAAAAGCAUCUGAAGUAAGGGCUGGGCAAGACCGGUGCCAGCCGCCGCGGUAACACCGGCAGCCCAAGUGGUGGCCACUUUUACUGGGUCUAAAGCGUUCGUAGCCGGCCAUGUAAGUUCCUUGGGAAAUUUGACCGCUUAACGGUUAAGCUUCCAGGGAAUACUGCUUGGCUUGGGACCGGGAGAGGUCAGAGGUACCUCAAGGGUAGGGGUGAAAUCCGUUAAUCCUUGGGGGACCGCCAGUAGCGAAGGCGUCUGACCAGACCGGAUCCGACGGUGAGGGACGAAGGCUAGGGUAGCGAACCGGAUUAGAUACCCGGGUAGUCCUAGCUGUAAACGAUGCGGG